rnacentral:rRNA from 1 species
AUACGUAGGGUGCAAGCGUUAAUCGGAAUUACUGGGCGUAAAGCGUGCGCAGGCGGUUUUGUAAGACAGAGGUGAAAUCCCCGGGCUCAACCUGGGAACCGCCUUUGUGACUGCAAGGCUAGAGCACGGCAGAGGGGGAUGGAAUUCCGCGUGUAGCAGUGAAAUGCGUAAGUAUGUGGGGGAACACCGAUGGCGAAGGCAUUCCCCUGAGCCUGUACUGACGCUCAUUCACGAAAUCGUGUGGAGCAAACAGGAUUUGAUCCCCUGGUAGUCCCCGCCCUAAACGAUGUCGACGGUUUGUUGGGUCUUCAUUGACUCAGUAACGAAGCUAACGCGUGAAGUUGACCGACUGGGGAGUACGGCCUCAAGGUUGAAACUCAAAUGAAUUGACGGGG